CACGUAGGGGGCAAGCGUUGUCCGGAUUUACUGGGCGUAAAGAGCUCGUAGGCGGCUUAGUAAGUCGGGUGUGAAACCUCCAGGCUCAACCUGGAGACGCCACCCGAUACUGCUGUGGCUAGAGUCCGGUAGGGGAGCGUGGAAUUCCUGGUGUAGCGGUGAAAUGCGCAGAUAUCAGGAGGAACACCAGCGGCGAAGGCGGCGCUCUGGGCCGGUACUGACGCUGAGGAGCGAAAGCGUGGGGAGCGAACAGG
rnacentral:rRNA from 1 species